CCUANGGGGGGCAGCAGUGAGGAAUCUUGCACAAUGGGGGAAACCCUGAUGCAGCGACGCCGCGUGAGUGAUGACGCCCUUCGGGGUGUAAAGCUCUUUCGACGGGGACGAUAAUGACGGUACCCGGAGAAGAAGCUGCGGCUAACUACGUGCCAGCAGCCGCGGUAAUACGUAGGCAGCAAGCGUUGUUCGGAAUUACUGGGCGUAAAGAGUGCGUAGGUGGUUGGCUAAGUUUGGUGUGAAAUCUCCCGGCUCAACUGGGAGGGUGCGCCGAAAACUGGCCGGCUAGAGUGUGGGAGAGGGAAGUGGAAUUCCUGGUGUAGCGGUGAAAUGCGUAGAUAUCAGGAGGAACACCUGCGGUGUAGACGGCUUCCUGGACCAUUACUGACACUGAGGCACGAAAGCGUGGGGAGCAAACAGGAUUAGAUACCCUUNUANUC
rnacentral:rRNA from 1 species